rnacentral:rRNA from 1 species
GAUGAACGCUAGCUACAGGCUUAACACAUGCAAGUCGAGGGGUAGCAGGGUAGCAAUACCGCUGACGACCGGCGCACGGGUGAGUAACACGUAUCCAACCUUCCCAUAACUCGGGGAUAGCCUUUCGAAAGAAAGAUUAAUACCCGAUAGUACUUUUUCAAGGCAUCUUGAGAAAGUUAAAGAUUUAUUGGUUAUGGAUGGGGAUGCGUUCCAUUAGAUAGUUGGUGAGGUAACGGCCCACCAAGUCUUCGAUGGAUAGGGGUUCUGAGAGGAAGGUCCCCCACAUUGGAACUGAGACACGGACCAAACUCCUACGGGAGGCAGCAGUGAGGAAUAUUGGUCAAUGGGCGAGAGCCUGAACCAGCCAAGUAGCGUGAAGGAUGAAGGUCCUAUGGAUUGUAAACUUCUUUUAUAGUAGAAUAAAGUGAUCCACGUGUGGAUUUUUGUAUGUAUACUAUGAAUAAGGAUCGGCUAACUCCGUGCCAGCAGCCGCGGUAA